UGACAUCCGCCGGACCAAUGUGCCAGACAU
rnacentral:piRNA from 1 species